GUACUCGCUUCGGCGGAACAUAUGCUAAAAUUGGACCCAUAGGAAGAAGAGUAGCUUGGCCUCUGCGCAAGGAUGAUACGCAAAAUUGUGCAAAAAGUGGUA